rnacentral:rRNA from 1 species
UAGGGAAUCUUCCACAAUGGGCGCAAGUCUGAUGGAGCAACGCCGCGUGAGUGAAGAAGGGUUUCGGCUCGUAAAGCUCUGUUGUUAAAGAAGAACGUGGGUAAGAGUAACUGUUUACCCAGUGACGGUAUUUAACCAGAAAGCCACGGCUAACUACGUGCCAGCAG